rnacentral:rRNA from 1 species
GACGAACGCUGGCGGCGUGCUUAACACAUGCAAGUCGAACGGAAAGGCCCUGCUUUUGUGGGGUGCUCGAGUGGCGAACGGGUGAGUAACACGUGAGUAACCUGCCCUUGACUUUGGGAUAACUUCAGGAAACUGGGGCUAAUACCGGAUAGGUGCUCCUGCUGCAUGGUGGGGGUUGGAAAGUUUCGGCGGUUGGGGAUGGACUCGCGGCUUAUCAGCUUGUUGGUGGGGUAGUGGCUUACCAAGGGUUUGACGGGUAGCCGGCCUGAGAGGGUGACCGGCCACAUUGGGACUGAGAUACGGCCCAGACUCCUACGGGAGGCAGCAGUGGGGAAUAUUGCACAAUGGGCGGAAGCCUGAUGCAGCAACGCCGCGUGCGGGAUGACGGCCUUCGGGUUGUAAACCGCUUUCGCCUGUGACGAAGCGUGAGUGACGGUAAUGGGUAAAGAAGCACCGGCUAACUACGUG